rnacentral:lncRNA from 1 species
UUGGGUAUUUCCAGUCAUAGCAUCUGUAGCAGUAGACUUUUCCAACAACUUUAACGAUCAAGGAAUGAUGAGGAGGAUAGUAAGGAGUUGGGGGUGGUGGUGAAGUGUAGUAGUAAGGUGGAGGAGGUGACUUAACUGGUGGUGGAGGGGAGGAGUAGUAGUAAGGUGGAGGAGGUGACUUAACUGGUGGGGGAGGGGAGGAGUAGUAGUAAGGAGGAGGAGGUGACUUAACUGGUGGUGGAGGGGAAGAGUAGUAGUACGGUGGUGGAGGUGACUUAACUGGUGGUGGAGGAGAGGAGUAGUAGUACGGUGGAGGAGGUGACUUAACUGGUGGUGGAGGGGAGGAGUAGUAGUACGGUGGAGGAGGUGACUUAGCAGGUGGUGGUGGGGACUUGUAAUAGUAAGGUGGUGGGGGAGAGGGUGAAGGGGGUGGUGGUGAUUUAUAGUAGUAUGGUGGAGGUGGUGAUGGAGAAGGUGGUGGGGGAGACUUGUAAUAAUAAGGUGGAGGUGGUGAAGGUGAAGGUGGUGGCGGGGAUUUGUAGUAAUAUGGUGGUGGAGGUGAUGGUGAAGGAGGUGGUGGUGAUUUAUAUACAUAUGGUGGUGGUGGAGAUGGUGAUGGAGGUGGUGGCGACUUGUACACAUACGGCGGUGGAGGAGAUGGUGAAGGAGGAGGUGGCGACUUGUAAACGUAUGGAGGUGGUGGAGAUGGUGAAGGAGGUGGCGGUGAUUUAUACACAUAGGGUGGUGGUGGAGAUGGUGACGGUGGUGGUGGAGACUUGUACUCAUAAGGCGGUGGCGGAGAAGGAGAAGGAGGGGGUGGUGACUUGUAUUCGUAAGUUGGUGGUGGGGGAGAAGCAUAUACAUAAGGGUCAGCAGAAACAAUAUUAGCAACAGCCAAAAUGGCCAAUGCCACUAAGAUUUGUGGCACAUGACGACCCCGGCGGGGGUCGCCACCGUUAAGCCUCAUUGCUAGUCGGAAAAUUGCGACACCAACUCCUCUAAUGUGGCAAUGCAAAUCUGCACACUGUCGGAAGUGUGAGAAAAGAGAAAGAGAAGAAGCUUUAGUUGAGAGGUAAUGACUUAAGAGGAAGCAAUGGCCUAAGUAUUUAUAGUAACACUUAGUGAGACUGUGAGAGGCAGUCGUUGGUAUGGAGCUGUCAAUUGGCACCAAUUUAGUUUGUCCGAUUGAGAAUCAAGACUUUUCAAAUUAUGAACUCUAUACAGCUGGACUUCUCAAAAAAAUUUUAAGUUCCAUUACUUCAUCACUCUGCAUUUUCCAUUGUUUUUUUUUUCUCUAACAAGUGGUUACCUGCUACAUAGAUUUACAAAAAGAACAUAACAUUAUGCAGAGACGCAUGCUAUAAUUGUGUAAGGGAAAUAAGGAGUGUUUUUAAUUUUUUACAUUUUCACUCUUCGUUUCGUUUUCAAUAUUUUUGUUGCCUCUGAACCUUAAUGAAAAGUGGGAUCAUAGAAUUUGGUCUUUUAUUGUUGUCUUCCAUGGUUCUGUUUUCCUAGCCGCCGGGGUGGGGAUGGGGUGGGGGUGUGGGGUCCUAGGAAAUUAGGGUAGGUGGAGUUGCCUUUAAUUUGAGGUGCCCCUGUUUUACCACUAACCAAAUUAAUCAAAGCCAAUAGAUGUGUAAGCUUCACAAUUUGAGGAAAACUAUUUAUAUGGAGUAUGUAUUAUUGUUGAUUUAUGUUUUCUUACUGAUUCAUGUGAGCAUUUUAUCCACCAGAUACUUCACGAGCAAGUUAAAUUCUCUCAUCAAUAAGCCAAUGCACAAGAAUCUUAUCUUCUCCUUCUAUAUAUGCACGUGCGACCACAAAUAGUUACAAAAGUAAAGUUAAACACCACUUUAAUUAACUUUUAUUUAAUCUUAGCUUAUGGUAAAUAUUAAACAAAUUAAACAUUGAAGCUGGGGGUCUUCAUUAUCGCACUUCCCUGGAAGAACAACUUACUCUUACUUGAUAUUUACAUUAAACCAUUAAAUACAAGUGUCUUUCACAUAAAUAUUUAUUGCUUAAUCAAAGUUAACGGAUACAUAUUUUAUAUUAUUAACUUGUAACUGUGAAGGUUAAAUUGCUUAUUUUGAUGAAAUAUUGAGCACCAAUAUAAGUAUUUCCUUGAAAAAAACACCGAGGGUGUGAUUAGUUGGUGGCAUUGUCUUUUUUCAAACUUGAUAGCUUCAAGAAAAAGUAACCCUUAACUAUGGAAGAUGCAUAGUUCGAAUUACAUUAUGUUUGUUAAGUGUCGAUGGCUAUAGAAAAAUUUUAUCUUUGCCAACUGGAAAACUGGAAAUAGUCCUCAAGAAACUUUGAAGGGGACAUUUUGUUUGACAUUAAAACGUCUCAAGAAAUCCAUAUGGAACUCUCUCAGCGUUUUCCUAGAUAUAUGAAUAAUAAAUAAAUACAUACAUAAAUAAAUAUUACUAAAAGUUUAGUUUUUUAUGUUUUCUUCAUUAUCAAUUGGAGAAGCAUUUUGUUUACUUAAAACAUUACUGAUAAAAUAUUCGUGUAUAUUUCUGUUAUAUAUUAUAUGGAAGAAAUUGAAAAAUAAGCUAUGCAAUGAGACUUGGUAGGCACUACUAAUUCAAAGAUUUCAAUACGCGUUUAUUAUGUAAUCCGAUUGUUCUUUUUCAUGUUUAUUAUAAUUGGUUUUAGUGUCAUUGGUGCAUACAUAAAGAAGUUGUGUUGAAUUGUUUUUUACAUUUUUUGUAUAGUAUCAGAAGAGAAUGACUUGGUAUAACCUACUACUAAUUCAAAAUUUACAAGCCGACAUAACAAUUUAAAUAAUUUACUAACUAAUUAGUUGACUUUACUUUGCUUCUAUUCCGUUACGCCACUUUUUUUUUUCCAAAUUUUUUAAGUGAUCUGUAAACCGCUGAGACUUUACUUUCAGAAAUCCCUUUCUAUUCCUCCAUUUUCUAGUUCCACGUCUAAAUAUCCUAGUUUUGUUUAUCAAGUAUCAAUUUUAAUAAAAAUUAUAGAUUCAAAAAGUUAUAAAAAAUUAAUUAAUGUGAAGAAUAUAUCUAAUACUAUAUAGUAUAUACACUGAUACACACUAUGAAAGUACCAAAAAAAUAUCUUCAUUUAAAACUUUAAUCCGAUACAUCUCUGUGUUUUUGAAACAGGAAAGACAUAAUCCUUAGAAAACAGAUAUAAUGCAUUUAGUUAUGCGUUUGGACAAAAACAUGUGAUUUUUGAAAAAAAAAAUAGUUUUUGGAGUUAAGUUAAGAAAAUGUAUUUAGAAUUUAAAAUUAUUUUGGAUAUAUUUCACUUGAAAAAAUAUUACAAUGUGAGGAGAAACCAAAUUUUACAUGAGAAAUGGUAAAACUCACUUUUUCAAAUUUGAAACUCAUCUUCAAAAAUUCAGUUAAACAUUUAACCAAACAUGAUUUGAAAAUAUUUUUCGAAAAAAGGAUAAAUAUUAUAUCCAAAUGGCUCCUUAAUUAUUCCUUGAUGCCCUUGUAAAACUAUAACUACAGAAAAGCGGUAUGUACAAAAUUAUAUCCGUAUGCUCCUUAAUUUUAAUUAUUUCUUGACGUCCUUGCGGUAAAAUUACGAAAUCUUUAAAUAAUGAAGUUGAUGUGAUGCCUUUUGUUAGCCUUCAAAUCAGAUUGAUUUAUUUGAGUUGUAAUUUGGGAGAAGUUGACUCAAUCCUCACCCUUUGAUUUAGAUUUUCACCCUUUAAUUUUUAUGCAUACGUAUUUUUUAUAUGCAUAUGUAUUUUUUUUACAUUGUAUAGUUUGAGUAGAAAGUAAUAAGUUCAGUUAAAUCUACAAAAAAACGCUUCUAUUUUUACCCAAUUCAAUUAUUUUAUUAAAUCAAUUUCAUCAAUCCGAUUCAUAUAAAAACUAAUUUUUAAAUCUUAUUAAAUUAAAUAGGGUGCAUCUUCCAGGAAAUGGAUUCCCCAAAUGUUCUAUGCCUUUGUGAUCCACUACUACACCACUUUUGGAAGACUUGUUAUGGUUUUUCGUUUCUUAUAUUUUUCAAUGUAGUCUUAAUUUUUGAACUGCAUGUGAUUUCUCAAUUAUGCUAUCAACUGCAUGUGGAGGCAAUUGAUUUUUUUUUAUUUUUUUUGAGUGUCGAACAGCAAAGAAACACGUAAUACGUAACAAGAUAAAAAGAGGAAAUGAAAAGGGUUUUUCUACCUUUUUCUUGUUCGUUUUCUAUAAUAACUACUGUACUAGUUUCUUAAAAUCCAAAAAAAGUCCCCACACAUUGUGAGAAUUAUUCAUAGAAUGCUUACAAGCAAUCCUUCAAUACGGGAAGAUGGAGUUUCUUAUUUUGUUUUGAUAAUAUUUUCUAUUUUUUGAAAGGAUAAUAAUUGUAAAAAAAAAAAUAUUCUAAUACAUUGUUUAUGAAAAACGUAACUUUAAAUUCAAAAAUUUUCUCGUGCAUUGAUAACGAGUAAUGAAUAAGAAAGUUUAAAAAAUUCAUUGGAAUAAGAAAGUUUUAAAAAAAAAAUCAUGCGUUAAUGAUAGGGCCAUGAGCUCUGAAGACACACGUUAAGCAGGGAGAGCUAACGUACGCACAAAGACGAUGGCCCGACAGAAAUCACAGAUAAUUGUGCCGCCUACAAUACCGGAGACGGACGAAGGAGGUAGAAUGGUAACACCAGAAUCAGGAAUACCACAAAUGAUAGGUCAGAUGCAACUGGUCCACUGGAUGACUGGGAUGGAAAGCGCACCAACAAUCAUGCAAGCUUCGAAAUGUGUUGAAGAAGAGAAUCCCAAACCAGCAGAGGUAGAUGUCAAUACUGCAGCGAGGAAGCUGACUUUCUUAGUGCAACGAGCAAACCCUAGUCGACCAGAACCGAUUCUAGCUGAUGUGGUUAAAGGAAAUCGAGCUCAACAACAGGGGCUGAAAUUGGAAUACUAUCCACCAACAAUGAAGGAAGGAGUAAAGAUUGUGCGAUUGAAUCAGACUCAAGUAGUAGAGCAAACUCAGAAAUGGAAAGAAGCGCUAAUUGGGUAUGCGUUGGGUGGAACUUCCUCUUUCAAAGAAAUGCUAAAAUUUGUGUAUGGGGUGUGAAAUUUUAUCACUGCACCACAUGUAUUCCUACAUGAUGAUGGGUACUUUAUAUUCAGAUUUAGAUCUGAAGAUGAUAAGAUAAAAACUUAUACAAUAAGGCCCAUAUACAUACCAUAAUAGACCCAUGAUACUGAAGCACUAGGAGCCUAAUUUCCAGAUGAGUAAAGAGUUGACUCAAAAUGUACCAAUAUGGGUCAUAUUCCCGGGAUUACCAAUUUAAUACUGGAUAAAGGAGAGUUUGGGGCGCAUAGCCAGCUACUUAGGAAAACCUAUAUGUUCAGAUAAACUCACAGCAGAGGGGGAUAAGAUUUCCUAUGCGCGUAUGCUGGUGGAAAUGGAUGUAUCACAGGAUCUACCAGAUACAAUGCUCAUUGAAGAAAAAGAUGGCAAGUAUAGAGAACAAGCACUGGACUAUGAAUGAAAACCUUCUUUCUGUGAGGAGUAUUUUCAAAUAGGGCACCAUAAUGAGAAAUGUGGGAAGGCUUUACCAAUGAGGUAGCAAAAGCAAACCAAUGCCAGCAAUGGCAACCUGGAGAAAACUGGUAAACAACAACAGAGGCAAUGGAAAGAGGUUAAGCAACAGAACAUAAAACAAUGGAGGGUGAAACCUGUUGUUGAGCAACCAUAAGUGCAGAAAAGCAGAUUCCUGAACAACUACAAGAACAACAGGUCAGUCAAGUUAAUGCAGAGCCAACUACUGAGCAAGAGAUGGAAAUACAACAAGUUCAGAAAUCUAGAGGCAGGCAAAAGAUAAAAGCUCAAGGACCUACAUAACAUAAGGGAGCCUUAACUGAUACUGAUUUAGAUAAUAUGCUGAAGAGAAAUAGAUAUAGUCCAUUGAGAAUACAAGAUGAUAGCAGCACUGGAAAGGUAACUUAAGGGAUUGGCCUCAAUGAGGAGAAUCCGACAUGAUAAUAAGCUCUUGGAAUAUAAAAGGAAUGAACAAGCCCUAUAAUCAUAAAGAACUCAAGGCCUUUCUGCUAAAACAUAAAAUAACUUUACUAGGCUGCCUUGAGACAAAAAUAAAGUCUAGAAGUAUUAGUAAAGUUAAAAGAAAAUUUUGCAAAAAUUGGAAAGUGCAUUCAGAUGAAGCUAUAAGUAACAAUGGGAGAAUCUGGAUCUUUUGGAAGGCAAAUUUGGUGCAGGUACAUAUACUGUUAGCAACUCUUCAAUUGCUACACUGCCAAGUGAAGGAUAAGGGAUCAACAUUCUCAUGUUGCAUAACAUUUGUAUAUGGAAAGAAUAAAAUUGUUACACCAUGUACGUCCGAAGUUGACGUAUAAUGAAUAUGAGACUUGUUAAUAAUGAUUUAAAUGAGUUUAAAGUCAUAAUAUGACUAUAUAUGAUGGUUGGACAAAACACAUAAAGUUUGGAGAAAAUCGGAUUAAAGUUGCGGAAAAACCGACUAAGAAUUUACCAUAUAAUAGAGCUUUUUGAGAAAUAUAUUCCGUAUAAUAUAUGAGGUCUUUUGGGAUAUAUUAUAUACCAAAUUGAAGGUCUUGGAAUGUAGUUUUCAAAGCUCUUAACCGUUCAUUCAUACAAUAUCCGGAUAAAAAGAUAUAAGCGUUGGAAAAUGGGUGAAUGAGAGGGUGCCAAGCUAGCACCUUUUGACUUUUCAAAAGUUUGAUAAAUAUGUUUUAACUCGUCUCUCUCUCUCUUCAUUUUACAUAGAAUCUAACCAGAGACACCAUAAAAGAACGGUCCUUGAGCUCUCUAAUAGUUUCGAAUAAUAAUAAUAUCCCGGGUACGAAAUCGAGAAGUGAUAACAUUAGAACGAUCCCUACGACGUAAGUAUCACUAUAUCACCUCUUUUUUUAUUUGUAGUUUGAGUUUUGGAAUGUAUUUAAUAGUUAAUAAAAAUUUAUAAUUUCUGUAUUUAAGCUUUAAAAUAUCAAAAAAAGUUGAUAAAUUCGUUUCCUAAUAGUUAGAUCUCACGUGACGGUGAUCGAAAACCGUGAGUUUGAGUUAUUUGAUUUGUAGUAGACUGUUUUGUUGGCUGUUUUGUGUUGCUUUUGGGCUGUCUAUUGUGCUACUAAUUUAUGGAGUAUGGAAGGAUAAAAAUGGCGUGGAGAAAUGCCACAUAUGGUAGGGUAGUAGGCUGGUCGCUCGUCGUUGUAGUUGCAGGCUAAUUGAUAAUUUGUUGAUUGGUGUAUUAUGGUAUAUUUGGGGGUUUUGUUGUAUUGAAGGUCCCGGAUUGUAAUUAGGUUGGUUUUAAGUUGAUGAUUGUAAUGUGUUUGUAUCUCGCCUAUAGUAGGCUUGAGGGAGCAGUAAAAUCAGGGGAAAUGCUGCCCGUUUUAUUUUAGAAUCGAGUUAUCGUUUGAGAUACGUAAUAUACUACCGCCAUCUAAAUUAUACACGUAUUUAUUUGCUAUAUGAUUGGAUCUCUAGUUGUCAUAAGCUUGUUGUUGAGUUGCAUUGACGACUUGAGGUAUGUUAAGGCUAUUCCUUCUUUCUUUUUGGCAUGAUACAAACGAAACGAGCAAAAUACGCAACUUUCAAAAAUGACUCUAUUCAUAGAAAUACUAGGGGUGUCUAUAUUCUUGAUUUCCCAUGUGAAUUAUUAUUAUAUCCUCUGUUCAUAGGUCCCAGAAAAAUAUGUAUUUGAUAAAGUUUGUCCGAAAGGAAUAUAAAUUUUAUGAUAUUCGAGAAAUCUUAUUAACGUAUUUCAUAUGCAUUUCAUGCAUUUAUACAUGUAUAUGGACCCAUGACCAGAAGGCGUUAUAUACGCGUAUAUUAUAUGUAUAUGGAUAUGGAAAAAGGUUAAGGCGUUAUAUACGCACCACCACCUGAUCAGUUGGUAUAUGUUGAUGAUUUUGCCCACAGUGGCCGAGAUGAUACGAUGGGAUGCCCUCAGAAGCUUGAUGAUGUUAUGUACACCUAUACCUAUGCAUGAUACAACAUUUACACGCAUGUGCAUGAUAUUAUAAAUGUUUCAGGAUUCAUAAAGUUAUUUAGACUCACAGGUGGAAUUCUUUACCCCAUAUUUCAUCUAUGUCUUUUAUGUACUGAUUUUCAUGCUUUACAUACACAGUACAUUAUUCAUACCGACGUCCCUUUUUGCCUGGGGACACUGCGUUUCAUGCCCGCAGGUAUAGGUAGACAGGCUGACGGUCCCCCUUCUUAGGAUCCUUGAUCAGCGAGAGUUGGUGUGUUCUAUUUGAUCCGGAGCUGCUUUGAGUUUUGGUACGGUGUGUUUACAUAUAUAUAUGGGUACGACGGGGCCCAAUCUCUUCCUUUAUACAGUUGUACACUCUAUUAGAGGUCUGUAGAUAGUCAUGUAUAGUUUAUAGUAUGUGGCCUUGUCGGCUCACCCUACAGUAUAUAUAUGUAUGUAUGUAUAUAUGUCUUUUGAGCAUGUUUUCCCACGUAGGUUGUUCAUAUGAAUUAAUAGUUUAUUUCCAGACGUUAUGCAUGACCUACACUUAUUUCAUGUUUAUAUCUUAGACGAAUGCUUAUGGGUGUUCGAUAGGUAGAACUCGAGCACUCGUCACGGCCUAUCGGUUUGGGUCGUGACAAAAGUGGUAUCAAAGUAAUUCUGUCCUAGAGUUGUCUACAGACCGUGUCUAGUAGAGUCUUAUUUAUGGGUUUGUUGUGCACCACAAUUAUAGACAGAAGGCUACAAGAUAUUUAGGAUGGUUACUCUUCUUUCUUAUCUUAGAUCGUGCGAUAUAAUAAUUCAUUUUCCUAACGACAUGUUAUGUUUUUAGCAAUGCCCAAGAAGGCUACAGCCGCCUAGAAGGGCAAGUCCGUGGAUGAUGAAACUACAAGUAGAGCACCACGAGUUACCAGAUCUCGGGGAGAAUCGCAUAGUGAGACUCCAUCUCAGACUUCACAUACCCCUCCCUUUCCAGAGGAGAUCCGAGGGGCACCAGCUCCAGCACUUGCUCCAGUACACCCAGCUCCUCAUCCAGAUGCACCGGGUCAGGAGAUAAGAGAUGUUAUUCAGUUAUUGACUCGGUUAGUGGCCGCACAAGCUCGGCGUCAGGAGGUUGGUAUUGGUCAUGCAGAUAGGGCCAUUAGUGCGAGGGUUCAUGAUUUCAUUAAUUUGGACCCUCCGAUAUUCACUGGAGCAGAUCCAAAUGAGGACCCUCAGGUAUUUAUCGAUAGUAUGCAGAGGACUUUGAGAGUAAUGAAGGCCACUGCGACUAAGCCGGUUGAGCUAGCUUCCUAUAGACUUCGGGAUAUUGCAAUUAAUUGGUACGAGUCUUGGGAAUUGUCCAGAGGUGAGGAUGCCCUUCCAGCAGUAUGGCAGGAUUUUACAAAGGCUUUUCUUCAUCAUUAUUUGCCACCAGAGCUUAAACGGGCCAGAGUUGAUAGGUUCUUGACCCUUCGACAGGGUAAUAUGAGUGUUCGGGAGUACAACCUUCAGUUUGAUUCUUUGGCGAGGUAUGCUCCCAUUAUUGUAGCUAAGAUGGAGAAUCGGGUUCACCGGCUCGUGAUGGGGUUGGAGCCGCACCUGCUCAAUGACUGUAUGUCGGUCUCACUUCAUCCAGACAUUGAUAUUUCUCGUAUUCAGGCAUACGCUCAGGAUGUAGAGGAGUGUAAGCAGAAGCAGGGGGCCGAUCGUGAGCAUGAUAGGGGCUAUAGUAAGAGAGUGAGAUCUUCAGAUCCUUCUGGUGAGUUUCGAGGUGGUCAGAGAUGGCAGUAUCCGAGGUAUCCAGCUCAGCCAUUAUCUAGUGUACCCCCCAGUUUUCUGGUAGGAGAUUUGAUCGUUCCACAUAUUCAAGGCACAGUCAGAGUUCCAGGGCCUCUCGUUCUCAGUAUAGGGGUGGGUCAAGUCAGGUGAGGCCACCUUUGCCACGAUGUGCUCAGUGUGGUAAGCAUCAUGUCGGGUAGUGUCUCGUGGGGUUGGGUGUUUGUUAUACGUGUGGUUAUCCAAGACACGUUAUGAGAGAUUAUCCGACGAGAGGUGGUGCAGGUAUAAUUCAGUCAGCGGGAUCUAUAGCUGGUUCGUCAUCAUCAGUACGCCCCCCUCGGCAAGGAUCACAGGCACCGGUCGGUUGUGGUAGAGGCAGAAGUGGAGCAUCUAGCUUGAGCGGUCCUCAGAACUGCAUUUAUGCAUUAGCGGGUCGACAGGAUUAGGAGUCGUCACCUAAUGUUGUUGCAGGUAUAUUAUCAGUCUCUUCAUAUGAUGUAUAGGCAUUGAUUGAUCCAGGUUCCACCUUAUCGUAUGUCACUCUAUUGGUUGCUAGCAAGUUUGGGAUGGAACCUGAGUUGAUUAAACCUUUUGAGGUGUCUACACCUGUUGGGGAUCCAGUGAUAGCUAGACGGGUAUAUAGAGAUUGUAUAGUAGGAGUUCUUAGUUGUUCUACAGUAGCGGACCUGAUUGAGCUAGAUAUGGUAGAAUUUGAUGUUAUAAUGGGUAUGGAUUGGUUGGCUUCUUGUUAUGCUAACGUUGAUUGUAGAUCAAAGAUGGUUUGGUUCCAGUUUCCAGGGGAGCCAGUUCUAGAGUGGAAAGGUAAUACUGCAUUGCCGAGAGGUAGGUUUAUUUCCUACCUCAAGGCAAGGAAGAUGAUCAGAAAGGGUUAUAUUUAUCACUUAGUUCGGGUACAUGAUGUGAAAGCAGAGUCACCGACCCUUCAAUCUAUUCCAAUGGUUAAUGAGUUUCCCGAUGUUUUUCCUGAUGAGCUUCCAAGCCUUCCGCCAGAGUGGGAGAUUGAGUUUGCUAUUGACACAUUACCAGAUACUCAGCCGAUAUCCAUUCCUCCUUAUAGAAUGGCACCUGCAGAGCUGAGAGAGUUGAAAGAACAACUGAGGGAUUUGCUUGAAAAAGGCUUUAUCAGACACAGUACAUCACCAUGGGGAGCACCUGUGUUAUUUGUGAGAAAGAAAAGUGGUACCUUGCGGAUGUGUAUUGAUUACAAACAGUUGAAUAAGGCGACAAUCAAGAAUAAGUACCCACUCCCGAGGAUUGAUGAUUUAUUUGAUCAGUUGCAGGGUGCCAGGUGUUUCUCAAAGAUAGACUUGAGGUCGGGGUACCAUCAGGUAAGGGUUAGAGAAAAUUCCGAAGAGAGCAUUCAGGACCAGAUACAGACACUUUGGGUUUCGUGUUAUGUCAUUCGGUUUGACUAAUGCCCCAGCGGUAUUCAUGGACUUGAUGAACCGUGUGUUCAGACCUUUUCUAGAUCUGUUCGUGAUUGUAUUUAUAGAUGAUAUUUUGGUUUAUUCUCAUUCAGAGGUUGAGCAUGCAGAUCAUUUGCGUACUGUGCUCAGAGAUCUACAAGAAAGGAAGUUGUAUGUAAAAUUCUCUAAAUGUGAAUUCUGGUUGAAUUCUGUAGCCUUCCUUGGUUAUAUUAUUUCGGGUCAGGGUAUCCGGGUCGAUACACAGAAGAUCGAGGCAGUGAAGACUUGGCCUAGACCCACGACACCGACAUAGGUUCGUAGCUUCCUGGGUUUGGCAGGUUAUUACAGGAGAUUUGUAGAGGGGUUUUCUUUCCUUUCAGCACCAUUGACAAAGUUGACUCAGAAGGCAACCAAGUUUCAGUGGACUGAUGCUUGUGAGCGGAGUUUCCAAGCAUUGAAGGACAGAUUGACUUCAGCACCGGUUCUGACACUUCCAGAAGGGACCGAUGGUUAUGCUAUCUAUUGUGAAGCUUCGGGCAUUGAAUUGGGUUGUGUAUUGAUGCAGCAUGGUAAGGUUAUCACUUAUGCUUCUAGACAACUAAGAAACCACGAGAAAAAUUACCCCACCCACGAUUUAGAGUUAGCCGUGGUG